rnacentral:rRNA from 1 species
GAUGAACGCUGGCGGCGUGCCUAAUACAUGCAAGUCGAGCGAACGGACGAGAAGCUUGCUUCUCUGAUGUUAGCGGCGGACGGGGGAGUAACACGUGGAUAACCUACCUAUAAGACUGGGAUAACUUCGGGAAACCGUAGCUAAUACCGGAUAAUAUUUUGAACCGCAUGGUUCAAAAGUGAAAGACGGUCUUGCUGUCACUUAUAGAUGGAUCCGCGCUGCAUUAGAUAGUUGGUAAGGUAACGGCUUACCAAGGCAACGAUGCAUAGCCGACCUGAGAGGGUGAUCGGCCACACUGGAACUGAGACACGGUCCAGACUCCUACGGGAGGCAGCAGUAGGGAAUCUUCCGCAAUGGGCGAAAGCCUGACGGAGCAACGCCGCGUGAGUGAUGAAGGUCUUCGGAUCGUAAAACUCUGUUAUUAGGGAAGAACAUAUGUGUAAGUAACUGUGCACAUCUUGACGGUACCUAAUCAGAAAGCCACGGCUAACUACGUG